rnacentral:misc_RNA from 1 species
GAUGAGAACGUAGUGAAAUGCGAUAAGUAAUGUGAAUUGCAGAAUUCAGUGAAUCAUCGAAUCUUUGAACGCACCUUGCGCCUUUUGGUAUUCCGAAAGGCACACCUGUUUGAGCGUCAUGAAUACCUCAAUCUCCAUCUUUUCUUCGGAUUGAUGGGUGACUUGGAUGUUGAGCCCUGCUGGUAUGCUAUAUCAGCUGGCUUUAAACUUAUUAGCCGGCUCUGUACUGGAUCGGUUUGACUCGACGUGAUAAUAUUAUCGUUGAGGAUGCAUGUCUCAUGCAGCCGGAAAGUAUCAAAGCAGCUUCUAGCUUGCCUUUAGUGCACUUUUACAUUUUAGACCUCAGAUCAGGUGGGACUACCCGCUGAACUUAAGCAUAUCAAUAAGCGGAGGA